GUCGAACGGAGCUGAGAGGAGCUUGCUUUUCUCAGCUUAGUGGCGAACGGGUGAGUAACGCGUGAGUAACCUGCCCUGGAGUGGGGGACAACAGUUGGAAACGACUGCUAAUACCGCAUAAGCCCACGGAUCCGCAUGGAUCUGCGGGAAAAGGAUUUAUUCGCUUCAGGAUGGACUCGCGUCCAAUUAGCUAGUUGGUGAGGUAACGGCCCACCAAGGCGACGAUUGGUAGCCGGACUGAGAGGUUGAACGGCCACAUUGGGACUGAGACACGGCCCAGACUCCUACGGGAGGCAGCAGUGGGGGAUAUUGCACAAUGGGGGAAACCCUGAUGCAGCGACGCCGCGUGGAGGAAGAAGGUUUUCGGAUUGUAAACUCCUGUCGUUAGGGACGAUAAUGACGGUACCUAACAAGAAAGCACCGGCUAACUACGUGCCAGCAGCCGCGGUAAAACGUAGGGUGCAAGCGUUGUCCGGAAUUACUGGGUGUAAAGGGAGCGCAGGCGGACCGGCAAGUUGGAAGUGAAAACUAUGGGCUCAACCCAUAAAUUGCUUUCAAAACUGCUGGCCUUGAGUAGUGCAGAGGUAGGUGGAAUUCCCGGUGUAGCGGUGGAAUGCGUAGAUAUCGGGAGGAACACCAGUGGCGAAGGCGACCUACUGGGCACCAACUGACGCUGAGGCUCGAAAGCAUGGGUAGCAAACAGGAUUAGAUACCCUGGUAGUCCAUGCCGUAAACGAUGAUUACUAGGUGUUGGAGGAUUGACCCCUUCAGUGCCGCAGUUAACACAAUAAGUAAUCCACCUGGGGAGUACGACCGC
rnacentral:rRNA from 1 species